CGCGUGUCCUCAUUUCUGUUUGAAUGUUCCGAAUGUUGAAGGUCUUAAUCUGGCAUUUGCCCUUAUCUUGACCGCAUUUGAACGGGCGUAAUCUGACUUUACACAUGCUUAUAACACCACACGAGGAUGAUUUGCCUAUUAAAGAACCGUGUCAUGUUAAUUGUCGUCUUCUUUUGGACUACAUGUUCUGCAGACUUCAGUUGCAUCUGCAGCUACAAAGUGGAAUUAUCAGUUUACCAACAGAGCGACAAAACCUCCACUGGUAUCGGCUACAUGUACGAGUUUGACUGCAAACCACAAGUACUUGAUGUCGAGGUGGACAAUGAAUGGUUCGUCAUAAUGUUCGAGAAGAAG